rnacentral:misc_RNA from 1 species
UAAUCUCACACUUCUGAUCCUUUGGAUCGGGAGCGGUGGACUUGGGUGUUGCUGCUUGACGGUGGCUCACCUCAAAUGCAUUAGUGCAACUCCAGGUUGGACAUAGUACGGCGUGAUAAGUAUCUUCGCCGGCACCUCACCAGAGGGUGGCUAAUCCGGAGCUCUGUGCUUCAAACCGUCUUCGGACAAUGACUGACA